rnacentral:rRNA from 1 species
UACGUGGGGUGCAAGCGUUAUCCGGAAUUAUUGGGCGUAAAGAGUUGCGUAGGCGGUUCGUAAAGUUUUUGGUGAAAGCCCCGGGCUCAACCUGGGAAUUGCAUUCGAUACUGGAUAGCUAGAGUUCGGCAGAGGGAAGCGGAAUUUCCGGUGUAGCGGUGAAAUGCGUAGAUAUCGGAAGGAACAUCAGUGGCGAAAGCGGCUUCCUGGACCAGAACUGACGAUCAGGCACGAAAGCGUGGGGAGCAAACAGG